UUGGAGGGCAAGUCUGGUGCCAGCAGCCGCGGUAAUUCCAGCUCCAAUAGCGUAUAUUAAAGUUGUUGCGGUUAAAAAGCUCGUAGUUGAAUUUCGGGGUCAGUAGAUUGGUCAUGCCACUGGUAUGUACUGGUCUCACUGAUUCCUCCUUCCUGAUGAGCCGUAAUGCCAUUAAUUUGGUGUUGCGAGGAAUCUGGACUGUUACUUUGAAAAAAUUAGAGUGUUUAAAGCAGGCUAACGCUUGAAUACAUUAGCAUGGAAUAAUGAAAUAGGACGUUCGAUCUUAUUUUGUUGGUUUCUAAGAUUGACGUAAUGAUUAAUAGGGAUAGUUGGGGGCAUUAGUAUUCAAUUGUCAGAGGUGAAAUUCUUGGAUUUAUUGAAGACUAACUACUGCGAAAGCAUUUGCCAAGGAUGUUUUCAUUAAUCAAGAACGAAAGUUAGGGGAUCGAAGACGAUCAGAUGCCGUCGUAGUCUUAACCAUAAACUAUGCCGACUAGGGAUCGGAUGAUGUUAAUUUUUUAAUGACUCAUUCGGCGCCUUACGGGAAAC
rnacentral:rRNA from 1 species